rnacentral:SRP_RNA from 1 species
UCGUGCUAGAUGGGGAAUUAGCGGUGCCCUGUAACCUGCAACCCGCUACAGCAGGAUCGAUGCUUGUAUGCGGCAAAUGCUGAUCUUUGCACUCCAAUUAAGUGGUGUUGAAGUUUCAAUUCUCCGCAAUGGUUUUGCACUAAAUCCCGUCAGGACCGGAAGGAAGCAGCGGUAGGUGACUAGAAUUAUGUGCCGGAGGACCCCUGGAAUGGAGCUAACUGGUUUGCUGUCCAUUGAUACCGGGUUUGUCAAAUACAGGUGCACGA